rnacentral:sRNA from 1 species
CAAAGAACCAGCAAAAACUAAGCAGUUGCUCGCACCAACGACGUCGCCGCUCACACCGCCGAAUUUCUCUUCCG